rnacentral:rRNA from 1 species
UACGGAGGGUGCGAGCGUUAUCCGGAUUUAUUGGGUUUAAAGGGUGCGUAGGCGGCUUAGUAAGUCAGCGGUGAAAUUUUGCAGCUUAACUGUAACAGUGCCGUUGAUACUGCAUGGCUAGGAUUUGGUUGCUGUGGGUGGAAUGUGUGGUGUAGCGGUGAAAUGCUUAGAUAUCACACAGAAUAUCAAUUGCGAAGGCAGCUCACAAAGCCAAGAUUGACGCUGAGGCACGAAAGUGUGGGGAUCAAACA